rnacentral:ncRNA from 1 species
UUCAUGGAGAGUUUGAUCCUGGCUCAGGACGAACGCUGGCGGCGUGCCUAAUACAUGCAAGUCGAGCGAAUCUUGAGGUGCUUGCACCUCUUGGUUAGCGGCGGACGGGUGAGUAACACGUGGGCAACCUGCCUGUAAGACUGGGAUAACAUCGGGAAACCGAUGCUAAUACCGGAUAAUCCUUUUCCUCUCAUGAGGGAAAGCUGAAAGUCGGCUUCUCGCUGACACUUACAGAUGGGCCCGCGGCGCAUUAGCUAGUUGGUGAGGU